rnacentral:misc_RNA from 1 species
ACUACUGCAUUACCACCAGGUAAUGGUGUGGCAACUGAGAAUUUGGAAGAAAAUAGCACGGUGACAUUUACUUCGAACAGCUCUUUGCCCCAAGGGUGGGAUGAAUUUUGUGUGGAGAAUAACAGGAGUUCUCCGGGAAAAUUCUACUUUACUUGUACCAUUGACCAGUACUAUUCCGGAAUGUGGAACUACAGUCAGAUUGCAAGUUACAUUUCGUUAGGAAAUGUAAAAUACGGAUUUGACAUUGAAUGUUUAGAAGGGGCUAACAUUUCACUUCGAUGGCCAGGAAAGGCAAACAAUCUCAUAGAACUGAAAGUGAGAAAUUGCUUACUAACAGAGUUCUACGGUGAUUAUGAAAGUAAAACUCUUGCAACAUUCCCUGAUCAAUUGGAAUACCUCGUUUUGAUAAAUAAUGUGGUUCUCGUGGACAUAUUUGAUUUGGUGUAUUUCGCGGGGUCAAUCGUGAACAUUACACAAGACGCAUUGUGUGGCAAUGAUGAAAGUCUUGUUGAAAUGAAAAUAAGCAAUAUGACUUACAACUUUGGGGUAUCAACUGAAAUCUUCUUUGAGAAAUUGUUAAAUAAAACGACAGGAGUUCAUGACAUAGAAAACGACCCAGUCGUAAACGAUGCCCAAAACCUGUACAAGGAUAUAUUUGAAGUAAGCCAUAUUUGUAACUACAAACAUUUGAGAACGUACGACAACAGUGUUAAUUCACACCCUAGUACUUUCUACGUUGACGUCAAGACUGAGAGGUCCCUUUACCCGGUUCUGGAAACCCUGAAUCUUUCCUACACGUCGUUUGGAAAACAGUACUCCGUGGACGAUUUACUGAACGACUGGGCCGUGUUUUACCCAACUCUGAAAUUAAUGGACAUUUCCCACUGUAACGUGCAGGUACUGGAUGUCAGCAACAAAUAUAACGACGCGGAUAGCAGUGUCAAGCACGUGCUGCAUGUCAAUCUGACAGGGAACAAUAUUACCGAGAUACAGGUGCCAGUGCUAGAAAGCCUGGUUAAUAUCCAACGAAUAUUCCUAAACUUCUCCGACAAUCCUCUGAACUGUUCUUGUACGGAAGACAUGAAAGAGCUCAUCCGAUUUGUUCUUGGUGAAUCGAAAUGGAGCGAGGAAAAGUACGCAAGAUAUGAUUUCAUUCGAGAAAUGCAAUGUUAUCACCCUGUACAACUGAGGGGAACUAUGCUCAAGGAUCUCAGAGAGUCUCAAUUGUUGUGUACAAAUGACGUCACGACGACAGAGACAAUUGUAGUAGAAGGCGUAGUGGUCUUAAGUAUAUUAUCUGUCUUCCUUUUAGUUACAAUCAUAAUACUGGUGAAGUUCCGGAGAGAAAUCCGAAUUUUGACGUACACUAGGUUUCAUAUUUUAUUGCCUUUUCAGUCAGAAGAGGCGUUCGAAGAGAAAACUUACGAUGCAUUUGUCUCUUACAGCAAUGAAGACCAAGAAUGGGUCACUAGUAUAUUUGAAAAUAAUGAAAUUGAAGCACUGAGAAAUUUUAAAUUCUGUUUACAUCAGAGGGAUUUCAUGCCUGGGAAAACGAUUACAGAGAACAUUGUGGACUGCAUUGAAGGUAGCAGGCACACCAUUGUAAUCGUGUCCAAACACUUUCUUGACAGUAGUUAUUGUUUGUAUGAAUUUGAAGAAGCCCUGCGACAGAGUAUAAGCGAAAGAAAGCGCCAUCUGCUGGUGAUUAUUUUAGAGGAAAUCUCUAAAGAAGAAAUGCCCAAAGUUUUACAAACAAGCUUAAAGACAUUCACGUACAUCAAAAAAGACGAUAGCAUUUUCCUAGACAGAUUAAUUUUUUCGCUUUCUUAUAAAGGGCACGGUAAGGAAAAGAAAAAAUCUUCCGAAAUAUCGGGACACGAAAAUAACGCAUUUGAAGGACGGAUGGCGGAACAGGAUGGCACGAACAAUUACAAUAAAAAUGUCUACCAAGUUGAUGUUCUUUCAGGAAAUUUAGACAGCGAGAAAACGAAACAUUACAACAUAUUCCCGUAAAACCUUGGCCGCUGUAUUACGCAAUAAACAAGAGUUGUAACUAUGAGGCGACAACCUGCAUUUACAUAUAACUUUCUUGUUUUUACAUAAUUACAAAACAUGUAGAAUCUCUUGGCAUGUUCUGUGAUUUUUAUGUUUUAUAUAUAUUUCAGUUGUUGAAUACAGUUUGUACCUCUUUUUUAAAAAUGUAGAUAUAAAUAUAUGUUCGCGAUUAAAACUAGAACCCCU